rnacentral:sRNA from 1 species
UUCACUUCUUCGACGUUAUGAGCUUUUAUUUUACCCAGGGGAUGGAUCUGUUGAAAUGCAUGAUGUAAAGAAUCAUCGCACCUUUUUAAAGCGGACCAAAUAUGAUAACCUGCACUUGGAAGAUUUAUUUAUAGGCAACAAAGUGAAUGUCUUUUCUCGACAAUUGGUAUUAAUUGACUAUGGGGAUCAAUAUACAGCUCGCCAGCUGGGCAGUAGGAAAGAAAAAACGCUAGCCCUAAUUAAACCAGACGCAGUAUCAAAGGCUGGAGAAAUAAUUGAAAUAAUAAACAAAGCUGGAUUUACUAUAACCAAACUCAAAAUGAUGAUGCUUUCAAGGAAAGAAGCAUUGGAUUUUCAUGUAGAUCACCAAUCAAGACCCUUUUUCAAUUCACCACUGAUGGGCGCCUGGGUUGAUUCCAUGUCUUUGCUAUUGUGUAUAGUGCUGCAAUGAACAGUGAGCUGAUCCAGUUUAUUACAACUGGUCCUAUUAUUGCCAUGGAGAUUUUAAGAGAUGAUGCUAUAUGUGAAUGGAAAAGACUGCUGGGACCUGCAAACUCUGGAGUGGCACGCACAGAUGCUCCUGAAAGCAUUAGAGCCCUCUUUGGAACAGAUGGCAUAAGAAAUGCAGCGCAUGGCCCUGAUUCUUUUGCUUCUGCGGCCAGAGAGAUGGAGUUGUUUUUUCCUUCAAGUGGAGGUUGUGGGCCGGCAAACACUGCUAAAUUUACCAAUUGUACCUGUUGCAUUGUUAAACCUCAUGCUGUCAGUGAAGGUAAGUGCUGUGUUGAAUACACUAUAUUCAAUACAUUUUGUUAAUAGGAGAGCAAUGUUUAUUUUCUUGAUGUACUUUAUGUAUAGAAAUUAAAGUAUACUUUCA